rnacentral:misc_RNA from 1 species
CGAGAUCAGCUGUUGGAAUCAGGAAUGGCUGAUGCAUUGAUGGCCUCAGCUGAUCAAAGAUCAAGAUUAAUGGUGUCUACAGAAAGAUUAAAUCAGUCCAGUGACAGAAUUAAGGAAAGUAGAAGAACCAUGCUGGAAACUGAAGAGCUUGGUGUUUCAGUUCUUCAAGAUUUGCAUCAACAGCGACAGUCUUUAUUGCAUGCCCAUAACACGCUUCAUGGAGUGGAUGACAACAUUGGGAAGAGCAAGAAAGUAUUGACUGCCAUGACAAGGAGGAUGAACAGGAACAAAUGGAUUAUUGGUGCUGUUAUUGCAGCCCUUAUUGUUGCUAUCGUCUUGAUCUUGUAUUUCAAACUCAAAUAAGCCAAGAACCUUCUUUUACGUGCUAAGUGUUUUACGGGAACAUGACUUCUUAUUCUUAUUCUUAUUAUUAUUUCUGUUUCCCGUGGUUAAUUGUGUGAGUUUGCCAUCGAGUUCUGACAUAAAGAUAUUUGCUUUUAUCUACUGACAAUGUACUUUUCAUCCAUUGUUAUCCUAUGGAAUGGUUUUUGG